UUUGGUGGUCAUAGCGCGAGCAAAACACCCGGCUCCAUUCCGAACCCGGCCGUUAAGUGCCGUUGCGCCGAUGGUACUGCGUCUUAAGGCGUGGGAGAGUAGGUCACCGCCAAAC
rnacentral:rRNA from 3 species